CCCACUAUGCGACUAGCGGUAGCCUAGGAAGACAUGCGUCACUGGUAACGGUGGGGUGUGAAGCUCUUCCGACAAUGUAGCCCCCGGAAGUUCGGGCAGACUCAAGCCGUGAGGCAUGCGUCUGGAUACUCCUAGCAGCAAUGGGGUUGAGGAG
rfam:Burkholderia glathei strain DSM 50014 contig1, whole genome shotgun sequence.